rnacentral:rRNA from 1 species
GAUGAACGCUAGCUACAGGCUUAACACAUGCAAGUCGCGGGGCAGCAUGGGGGUUGCUUGCAACCCCCGAUGGCGACCGGCGCACGGGUGAGUAACGCGUAUCCAACCUGCCCUUCACCACGGGAUAACCCGGCGAAAGUCGGACUAAUACCGUAUGUUGUCCAUUGACGGCAUCCGAUUUGGACGAAAGGCUUUGCGGUGAAGGAUGGGGAUGCGUCCGAUUAGCCAGACGGCGGGGUAACGGCCCACCGUGGCGACGAUCGGUAGGGGUUCUGAGAGGAAGGUCCCCCACACUGGAACUGAGACACGGUCCAGACUCCUACGGGAGGCAGCAGUGAGGAAUAUUGGUCAAUGGGCGUAAGCCUGAACCAGCCAAGUAGCGUGCAGGAUGACGGCCCUAUGGGUUGUAAACUGCUUUUAUGCGGGGAUAAAGUGGCCCACGUGUGGGCUUUUGCAGGACCGCAUGAAUAAGACCG